rnacentral:rRNA from 1 species
GGUUUUUGGAGAUGAUAAAAAAUCGGGCCUGCUCUAUGAUAUAUUAAAUGGCCGCAGUAUAUUGACUGUGCUAAGGUAGCAUAAUAAUUAGUCUCUUAAUUGGGGACUGGAAUGAAGGGUUUAACAAAGGGAUGGCUGUCUGUUAUUUAUUUAUAUUAAAUUUAGUUUAAGUGUGAGAAGACACUUAUAAAGCUAAGGGACGAGAAGACCCUAUAGAGUUUUAUAUAUGUAAAGAUAUAUAAGAUUAAUUAAGUGAGUUGGUUUAAUAUCAGAAGUGUAUAUUUUACUGGGGAGGUAAAGAAAGAGUAAAUCUUUAUUUUAGGAUUUAAAUGCAGGAUAUUGCGAGAGUAAUGAUCCAAUUGGGGAGAUUGAUAAUAGGAUUAAAUUACCUUAGGGAUAACAGCGUAAAGCUACUGGAGAGUUCAUAUUAAUAGUAGACUUUGCGACCUCGAUGUUGAAUUAGGAUAACUGUUUGGUGAAGGAGCUUAAUAAGAUAGUCUGUUCGACUAAUAAUAUCCUACA